rnacentral:lncRNA from 1 species
UGAAAUCGGAUUAUGAUUUUAAUAAUAUGGAUGGGGCAUUGGGUGGUGUUUGGACUAAUUAGUCAUGCAAAAAAUAUAGUAUAUAUACUAGAUCAGCCUUGGACUAUGUUGUGGUAUUAUGUUUGGCCUACCAUAGGUUAGCUGGAGCAUAGUUAUAAUUAGUCUAAUAUUCGAAAGAUAAAUAUAAAUUAGCAUAACUAUAAGAGUGGGAAAAAGAGGA